UACGGGGGGGGCAAGCGUUGUUCGGAUUUACUGGGUGUAAAGGGUGCUCAGGUGGCUUGGAAAGUCAGAGGUGAAAUCUGAGAGCUUAACUCUCAAACUGCCAUUGAUACUUCUCAGCUUGAGUACGGAAGAGGCUGAUGGAAUUUCAGGUGUAGCAGUGAAAUGCGUAGAUAUCUGAAAGAACACCAGUGGCGAAGGCGGUCAGCUGGUCCGUUACUGACACUAAAGCACGAAAGCGUGGGUAGCAAACAGG
rnacentral:rRNA from 1 species